rnacentral:rRNA from 1 species
UACGUAGGGUGCAAGCGUUAAUCGGAAUUACUGGGCGUAAAGCGUGCGCAGGCGGUGAUGUAAGUCAGGUGUGAAAUCCCCGGGCUUAACCUGGGAACUGCAUUUGUGACUGCCUCGCUGGAGUGCGGCAGAGGGGGAUGGAAUUCCGCGUGUAGCAGUGAAAUGCGUAGAUAUGCGGAGGAACACCGAUGGCGAAGGCAAUCCCCUGGGCCUGCACUGACGCUCAGGCACGAAAGCGUGGGGAGCAAACAGG